UACGUAGGGGGCAAGCGUUGUCCGGAAUCAUUGGGCGUAAAGAGCGUGUAGGCGGUCCGGUAAGUCCGCUGUGAAAGUCGGGGGCUCAACCCUCGAAUGCCGGUGGAUACUGUCGGGCUAGAGUCCGGAAGAGGCAAGUGGAAUUCCCGGUGUAGCGGUGAAAUGCGCAGAUAUCGGGAGGAACACCUAUGGCGAAGGCAGCUUGCUGGGACGGCACUGACGCUGAGACGCGAAAGCGUGGGGAGCAAACAGG
rnacentral:rRNA from 1 species